rnacentral:rRNA from 1 species
GGGUUGUGAGGUUAAGCGACUAAGCGUACACGGUGGAUGCCCUGGCAGUCAGAGGCGAUGAAGGGCGUGCUAAUCUGCGAUAAGCGCCGGUAAGGUGAUAUGAACCGUUAUAACCGGCGAUACCCGAAUGGGGAAACCCAGUGUGAUUCGUCACACUAUCAUUAACUGAAUCCAUAGGUUAAUGAGGCGAACCGGGGGAACUGAAACAUCUAAGUACCCCGAGGAAAAGAAAUCAACCGAGAUUCCCCCAGUAGCGGCGAGCGAACGGGGAGGAGCCCAGAGCCUGAAUCAGCAUGUGUGUUAGUGGAAGCGUCUGGAAAGGCGCGCGAUACAGGGUGACAGCCCCGUACACAAAAGCGCAUGUGCUGUGAGCUCGAUGAGUAGGGCGGGACACGUGGUAUCCUGUCUGAAUAUGGGGGGACCAUCCUCCAAGGCUAAAUACUCCUGACUGACCGAUAGUGAACCAGUACCGUGAGGGAAAGGCGAAAAGAACCCCGGCGAGGGGAGUGAAAAAGAACCUGAAACCGUGUACGUACAAGCAGUGGGAGCACCCUUUGGGUGUGACUGCGUACCUUUUGUAUAAUGGGUCAGCGACUUAUAUUCUGUAGCAAGGUUAACCGAAUAGGGGAGCCGGAGGGAAACCGAGUCUUAAUUGGGCGUUAAGUUGCAGGGUAUAGACCCGAAACCCGGUGAUCUAGCCAUGGGCAGGUUGAAGGUUGGGUAACACUAACUGGAGGACCGAACCGACUAAUGUUGAAAAAUUAGCGGAUGACCUGUGGCUGGGGUGAAAGGCCAAUCAAACCGGGAGAUAGCUGGUUCUCCCGAAAGCUAUUUAGGUAGCGCCUCGUGAAUUCAUCUCCGGGGGUAGAGCACUGUUUCGGCUAGGGGGCCAUCCCGGCUUACCAACCCGAUGCAAACUGCGAAUACCGGAGAAUGUUAUCACGGGAGACACACGGCGGGUGCUAACGUCCGUCGUGAAGAGGGAAACAACCCAGACCGCCAGCUAAGGUCCCAAAGUCAUGGUUAAGUGGGAAACGAUGUGGGAAGGCCCAGACAGCCAGGAUGUUGGCUUAGAAGCAGCCAUCAUUUAAAGAAAGCGUAAUAGCUCACUGGUCGAGUCGGCCUGCGCGGAAGAUGUAACGGGGCUAAACCAUGCACCGAAGCUGCGGCAGCGACACUGUGUGUUGUUGGGUAGGGGAGCGUUCUGUAAGCCUGUGAAGGUGUGUCGUGAGGCAUGCUGGAGGUAUCAGAAGUGCGAAUGCUGACAUAAGUAACGAUAAAGCGGGUGAAAAGCCCGCUCGCCGGAAGACCAAGGGUUCCUGUCCAACGUUAAUCGGGGCAGGGUGAGUCGACCCCUAAGGCGAGGCCGAAAGGCGUAGUCGAUGGGAAACGGGUUAAUAUUCCCGUACUUGGUGUUACUGCGAAGGGGGGACGGAGAAGGCUAUGUUGGCCGGGCGACGGUUGUCCCGGUUUAAGCGUGUAGGUGUGUGUUCCAGGUAAAUCCGGUUCACUUUAACACUGAGGCGUGACGACGAGGCACUACGGUGCUGAAGCAACAAAUGCCCUGCUUCCAGGAAAAGCCUCUAAGCAUCAGGUAACAUCAAAUCGUACCCCAAACCGACACAGGUGGUCAGGUAGAGAAUACCAAGGCGCUUGAGAGAACUCGGGUGAAGGAACUAGGCAAAAUGGUGCCGUAACUUCGGGAGAAGGCACGCUGACACGUAGGUGAAGUGAUUUACUCAUGGAGCUGAAGUCAGUCGAAGAUACCAGCUGGCUGCAACUGUUUAUUAAAAACACAGCACUGUGCAAACACGAAAGUGGACGUAUACGGUGUGACGCCUGCCCGGUGCCGGAAGGUUAAUUGAUGGGGUCAGCGCAAGCGAAGCUCCUGAUCGAAGCCCCGGUAAACGGCGGCCGUAACUAUAACGGUCCUAAGGUAGCGAAAUUCCUUGUCGGGUAAGUUCCGACCUGCACGAAUGGCGUAAUGAUGGCCAGGCUGUCUCCACCCGAGACUCAGUGAAAUUGAACUCGCUGUGAAGAUGCAGUGUACCCGCGGCAAGACGGAAAGACCCCGUGAACCUUUACUAUAGCUUGACACUGAACAUUGAGCCUUGAUGUGUAGGAUAGGUGGGAGGCUUUGAAGUGUGGACGCCAGUCUGCAUGGAGCCGACCUUGAAAUACCACCCUUUAAUGUUUGAUGUUCUAACGUGGACCCGUUACCCGGGUUGCGGACAGUGUCUGGUGGGUAGUUUGACUGGGGCGGUCUCCUCCUAAAGAGUAACGGAGGAGCACGAAGGUUGGCUAAUCCUGGUCGGACAUCAGGAGGUUAGUGCAAUGGCAUAAGCCAGCUUGACUGCGAGCGUGACGGCGCGAGCAGGUGCGAAAGCAGGUCAUAGUGAUCCGGUGGUUCUGAAUGGAAGGGCCAUCGCUCAACGGAUAAAAGGUACUCCGGGGAUAACAGGCUGAUACCGCCCAAGAGUUCAUAUCGACGGCGGUGUUUGGCACCUCGAUGUCGGCUCAUCACAUCCUGGGGCUGAAGUAGGUCCCAAGGGUAUGGCUGUUCGCCAUUUAAAGUGGUACGCGAGCUGGGUUUAGAACGUCGUGAGACAGUUCGGUCCCUAUCUGCCGUGGGCGCUGGAGAACUGAGGGGGGCUGCUCCUAGUACGAGAGGACCGGAGUGGACGCAUCACUGGUGUUCGGGUUGUCAUGCCAAUGGCACUGCCCGGUAGCUAAAUGCGGAAGAGAUAAGUGCUGAAAGCAUCUAAGCACGAAACUUGCCCCGAGAUGAGUUCUCCCUGAGACUUAGAGUCUCCUGAAGGAACGUUGAAGACGACGACGUUGAUAGGCCGGGUGUGUAAGCGCAGCGAUGCGUUGAGCUAACCGGUACUAAUGAACCGUGAGGCUUAACCUUACAACGCCGAAG